rnacentral:rRNA from 1 species
UACGAGGGGGGCGAGCGUUGUUCGGAAUUAUUGGGCGUAAAGGGUGCGUAGGCGGUUUGGUAAGUCUUAUGUGAAAUCUAUGGGCUCAACUCAUAGUCUGCAUGAGAAACUGCCGGGCUUGAGUAUGGGAGAGGUGAGUGGAAUUCCUAGUGUAGCGGUGAAAUGCGUAGAUAUCAGGAGGAACACCUGUGGCGAAAGCGGCUCACUGGACCAUAACUGACGCUGAUGCACGAAAGCUAGGGGAGCAAACAGG